CAGUCGCCACGGUAAUACGAGGGGGGCAAGCGUUGUUUGGAAUUAUUGGGCGUAAAGGGCGCGUAGGCGGUUUGGCAAGUUUGGUGUGAAAUCUUCGGGCUCAACUCGAAGUCUGCACCGAAAACUGCCGGGCUUGAGUAUGGGAGAGGUGAGUGGAAUUUCCGGUGUAGCGGUGAAAUGCGUAGAUAUCGGAAGGAACACCUGUGGCGAAAGCGGCUCACUGGACCAUUACUGACGCUGAGGCGCGAAAGCUAGGGGAGCAAACAGGAUUAGAUACCCGAGUAGUCCCUGUCUCUUAUAC
rnacentral:rRNA from 1 species